rnacentral:rRNA from 1 species
CUUGAACGCUGGCGGCAGGCUUAACACAUGCAAGUCGAGCGGAGAUGAGGUGCUUGCACCUUAUCUUAGCGGCGGACGGGUGAGUAAUGCUUAGGAAUCUGCCUAUUAGUGGGGGACAACAUUCCGAAAGGAAUGCUAAUACCGCAUACGCCCUACGGGGGAAAGCAGGGGAUCUUCGGACCUUGCGCUAAUAGAUGAGCCUAAGUCGGAUUAGCUAGUUGGUGGGGUAAAGGCCUACCAAGGCGACGAUCUGUAGCGGGUCUGAGAGGAUGAUCCGGCACACUGGGACUGAGACACGGCCCAGACUCCUACGGGAGGCAGCAGUGGGGAAUAUUGGACAAUGGGCGGAAGCCUGAUCCAGCCAUGCCGCGUGUGUGAAGAAGGCCUUUUGGUUGUAAAGCACUUUAAGCGAGGAGGAGGCUACCUGGAUUAAUACUCUAGGAUAGUGGACGUUACUCGCAGAAUAAGCACCGGCUAACUCUGUGCCAGCAGCCGCCGUAACAC